UACAGAGGGUGCAAGCGUUUGUUCGGAAUUAUUGGGCGUAAAGGGCUCGUAGGCGGUCUGUUGCGUCGGGAGUGAAAAUUCACAGCUUAACUGUGAACUUGCUUCCGAUACGGGCAGACUUGAGGGUAUUCAGGGGAGAACGGAAUUCCUGGUGUAGCGGUGAAAUGCGUAGAUAUUGGGAGGAACACCAGUGGCGAAGGCGGCUCACUGGACCGGUACUGACGCUGAUGCGCGAAAGCGUGGGGAGCAAACGGG
rnacentral:rRNA from 1 species